GAUGAAGAACGUAGCGAAAUGCGAUAAGUAAUGUGAAUUGCAGAAUUCAGUGAAUCAUCGAAUCUUUGAACGCACAUUGCGCCCCUUGGUAUUCCGAGGGGCAUGCCUGUUCGAGCGUCAUUAUAACCCCUCAAGCUCAGCUUGGUGUUGGGGCCUGCUGCACUGGCAGCCCUUAAAAUCAGUGGCGGCGCCAUCUGGCUCUAAGCGUAGUAAUUCUUCUCGCUAUGGAGUCCUGGUGGAUGCUUGCCAUCAACCCCCAAUUUUUCUAUGGUUGACCUCGGAUCAGGUAGGAAUACCCGCUGAACUUAAGCAUAUCAAUAAGCGGAGGA
rnacentral:misc_RNA from 1 species